AGUUUGAUCAUGGCUCAGAAUGAAACGCUGGCGGCGUGCUUAACACAUGCAAGUCGUACGAGAACUCUUUAGCUUGCUAAAGAUAGUAAAGUGGCGCACGGGUGAGUAACGCGUGGGUAAUCUACCUUCGAAUCGGGGAUAACAUUGCGAAAGCGAUGCUAAUACCGGAUAAUAUCUCAAAACCAUAAGGUUUUAAGAUCAAAAAUGGCCUCUACAUGUAAGCUGUUGUUUGGAGAUGAGCCCGCGUACCAUUAGCUUGUUGGUAGGGUAAUGGCCUACCAAGGCAACGAUGGUUAGCUGGUCUGAGAGGAUGAUCAGCCACACUGGAACUGACACACGGUCCAGACUCCUACGGGAGGCAGCAGUGAGGAAUUUUGCGCAAUGGGGGAAACCCUGACGCAGCAACGCCGCGUGAGUGAUGAAGGCCUUCGGGUCGUAAAGCUCUGUCAAGUGGGAAGAAAAUGAAAAAUGUUAAUAGCAUUUUUCACUGACGGUACCACUGAAGGAAGCACCGGCUAACUCCGUGCCAGCAGCCGCGGUAAUACGGAGGGUGCAAGCGUUAUUCGGAAUUAUUGGGCGUAAAGGGCGCGUAGGCGGCCUUUUAAGUCAGAUGUGAAAGCCCGGGGCUUAACCCCGGAAGUGCAUUUGAAACUAAAGGGCUUGAGUAUGGGAGAGGGAAGUGGAAUUCCUGGUGUAGCGGUGAAAUGCGUAGAUAUCAGGAGGAACACCGGUGGCGAAGGCGACUUCCUGGACCAAUACUGACGCUAAGGCGCGAAGGCGUGGGUAGCAAACAGGAUUAGAUACCCUGGUAGUCCACGCAGUAAACGGUGAACACUAGGUGUAGCGGGUAUUGACCCCUGCUGUGCCGCAGCUAACGCAUUAAGUUCCCGCCUGGAGACGGAG
rnacentral:rRNA from 1 species